rnacentral:RNase_P_RNA from 1 species
CUGGGAAGAUAGGCAAUCGCCGCUGUAUGAAAAUGCAGGGGAGGAAAGUCCGGGCUUCAUAGGAGAGGAUGCCGGCGAAACGCCGGGGGCCGUAAGGCUACGGAAAGUGUAACAGAAAAUAUUCCGCUGACGCUUAUGCGACAGAGAGGCUGAAAAUUCUGACUUCGAGAGUCAGACACACGCAGGGAAACCCGCGGUGAUAUAAACCCCAUCCGAAGCAAGGAAAAGGAAAAGCACGAUGUCGUCUCCGCGACGCUUUUCCUCACAAUCCGCUCGAGGGCUGUGGCAACACAACCCCUAGACGAAUGAUUGUCCACGACAGAAUCCGGCUUAUCGUCUUCCCAGUGGU